UCCUACGGGGGGCAGCAGUAGGGGAUAUUGGUAAUCUGCGAAAGCGGGAACCAGCAACGCCGCGUGUGCGAUGAAGGCCUUCGGGUUGUAAAGCACUUUUCACCGGGACGAGGAAGGACGGUACCGGUGGAAUAAGCCUCGGCUAACUACGUGCCAGCAGCCGCGGUAAAACGUAGGAGGCGAGCGUUAUCCGGAUUUACUGGGUGUAAAGCGCAUGCAGGCGGUUCGCUAAGUUGGGUGUGAAAGCUCCUGGCUCAACUGGGAGAGGUCGCUCAAGACUGGCGGACUAGAGCGUGGUAGGGGAAGGCGGAAUUCCGGGUGUAGUGGUGAAAUGCGUAGAUAUCCGGAGGAACACCAGUGGCGAAGGCGGCCUUCUAGACCAUGACUGACGCUCAGAUGCGAAAGCUAGGGUAGCAAACGGGAUUAGAAACCCGUGUAGUCC
rnacentral:rRNA from 1 species